AUUUCUGACGGUAUGUCAUGCUUUCAUGUGAUCCCUUUAAAAUAAGACAAUAUAUUUAAAUUUAGUUUCUGCAAGAAAGGAUUUAAUCCAUAAGGACUUUUCAACUAUUUUAUGGGUUUGUUUAUUGCAGCAGUAUUAUAAUUUUCAGUCAGUAGUACAUUUUUCAUACAUUUUUAUCAAAAAUUACCGCUUUCUCUUUAACUUUGAUCGAUUUGAUCCACGCUCGACCUCUAGGGCUGCUCAAGAAUAGCGUGCACGCGCAAUUAUCUUGACUAGGGAAAUCUGGAUCAUAUUAGUUGGAUUGCGUAAGCUUCAUUUGCCUUUUUUGAAACCGCUUUAGCCUCGCCUCAUUUGUUAGGUUAAUUCAAGUCGAGUUUGUAACUUUAAUCCUCGCUUUUCCAAGCGAGUUUUAUGAAAUAGCCCUCAGUUGUGUGAUUGCAGUACCAGUUUUAGCCACAAGUUUUGUGAUUGCAAUACCAGUUUUGGCCACAAUCCUACAUACUGUUCCUUUACUGACUGUCUGUCUGUUCUCAACCAAACGGCCAUUCAAGACCUUAAGGUAAUGUUACCACAUUUAUUCAUUCAUUCAUUAUGUUUUGAGUACACCACAGUUGUAGACAAUUUAUUCAUAUUUGUGUGUUUUCUCACUGUUUAGCACAAACGUUUCACGUGCAAGUUUGAAUCUCUCUCAGUAAGGACUAACUGACUGGCUUUCUGUUCUCAACCAAACGGUCAUUCCUACUUGUAAAAACCUUUUAAAGGUUAAUUAUGGAUCUUUACCAUUGAGGAGACUGGCUGACUGACUGUUCUCAACCAACCAUCAUUAACUAACAAAAACUUUAAAGGUAAGUAUGAACGCGUCUAGAGUUUUCGAUCUUUACCAUUGAGGAGGCUGACUGACUAUCAUCUAUUACUACAAGUGGACCUAUUCAUUUACUCAUUAUGCUGUGAGUACACCACAGUUUUAUCAGUAAAACAAUAAUGUUUGUUGUUUUCACUGCUUGGCAUAGACAAAUGUGACCCUGUGUAAUUUGGAAAUGUCUUGGGAAAAGUGUACAUCUUAAUGUUUAAAUGUCGUUUGAAUUAAGGAACAGUACACUGAUUUAUUAAAAGUGUACAAUACAAAUCUAAGUAUAAUAGUGUAAAAUAGUGUAAAUCUAAUAUUAGUUUUAAUGUGAAUUUGGAUUGAACCGCACACUUUUGUUUUAUGUCUAAAACAAUGUUUGUAAAAUAAAUGAUUGUUCAAUAAACUGUAAUAAUUUUA